CCUACGGGGGGCAGCAGUGGGGAAUAUUGCACAAUGGGGGGAACCCUGAUGCAGCGACGCCGCGUGGGUGAGGAAGUACUUCGGUAUGUAAAGCCCUAUCAGCAGGGAAGAAAAUGACGGUACCUGACUAAGAAGCCCCGGCUAACUCCGUGCCAGCAGCCGCGGUAAUACGGAGGAUGCGAGCGUUAUCCGGAUUUAUUGGGUUUAAAGGGUGCGCAGGCGGAGGCACAAGUCAGCGGUAAAAUCGCGGGGCUCAACCCCGCUCCGCCGUUGAAACUGUGUCCCUUGAGUGCGCGAAGGGUAGGUGGAAUGCGUGGGGUAGCGGUGAAAUGCAUAGAUAUCACGCAGAACUCCGAUCGCGAAGGCAGCCUACCGGCGCGCAACUGACGCUCAUGCACGAAAGCGUGGGUAUCGAACAGGAUUAGAUACCCCUGUAGUC
rnacentral:rRNA from 1 species